GUCCACGCCCUAAACGAUGCAUAUUUGGUGUGGGCAGUUCAUUCUGUCCGUGCCGGAGCUAACGCGUUAAAUAUGCCGCCUGGGGAGUACAGUCGCAAGGCUGAAACUCAAAGGAAUUGACGGGGCCCGCACAAGCGGUGGAGCAUGUGGUUCAAUUCGACGCAACGCGAAGAACCUUACCUGGGCUCGAACGGCUGGUCAACGGAGGUGGAAACAUCUUUACCCCGCAAGGGGGUCCAGUCGAGGUGCUGCAUGGCUGUCGU
rnacentral:rRNA from 1 species